rnacentral:lncRNA from 1 species
GGGAUACUGUUGCGAAUCUCUGGACUGAAAGUAACUCUGCUGGUGAGAUUUUUAUGCAACAUCACUUAGUAUUCAUUGUAUCUGAUAUUAUUUGUACAUGUGGCUUUGUCCACUUCACAGUCCCUUUCCCAUAGGCUGUAGCCCCUCACCUGCUCCCCCUAAAAGAAAAGUGGAGAAGGGAGAGGGGAAUUGUGGAAGGUUGGUUUUAGUGGAAGAGAGAGUUAUUUGUGCGUCAGAUGGUGCAAAGCAUUUCAGCAUUAUGCCAUCGUAUUAGUUUUAUCUGUUUCUUUUCUCUUAAACUACUUUUGGGAAACCUAGAUAAGAAUAUAGCUGUAGAAGUAUCCUCAUCUAUUGCUAUCCCAUUCCCUGCUCCUCUUUCCAGAUAUACCUAUGAAUAUUGAGAUCAGGAAAAAGAGGUGCAGGGCUCAGAGUUGCAAAGGUACACUUGACCUUCUUUCCCCGCUGCCAAAGAAACUGACCGGAGAGUGCACUGUCAGGAGAGAUAUUCAAUCUCCACAGAAUACUCUGUGGGAAAGUGCUUCUGAGAAACCUGAUCCUGGGUCCGGAUUUCUCUCUCAGAUUGAAAGUUCAAGUCGGUCAAUUGAUGGAUCUCUUGCUCAUUGCACAGUUGGUGUAAACUGGAAAUCCAGAUGCUCUGUGCAACCCCUUUCAUCUAAUGUUUUACCUACAGAGGAGUAUUUCCUGGAUAACAAAUUCAAUACUUCAGCUACCUCCAGUUAUAAAUCAGACUGCCUGUUAGGUUCAGGAUGGGAGAAUGGGUCUCAAACAAUUGUAGCUGGCAAAUCAACAGAGGAUGCCUCAUUUAGGGAGUCUCUUGAACUUAUUGACAAUUCAAAUAUGACGCAUGAGAGAAGGAAACCAUUUAUGCGAAACUGUUCUUUGCACAGAAGCCUGAUACAUGAUGGAACAUCUUUUGAUAGUGAUGAAGAUAUUAAGUUUGAAAAAAGUGACUGCAGAACUAAACAAAAUCGCCUUGAAGAUGAUUAUAGUGUUGAAUUUGAAGUUGUUGAUGAUGUUAACCGGGUCUUACAUCAAAGGUCUCCUAGAGGCAAGGAAAUAUAUUUUGAGAAGUUCUCCAGGUGCAAAACUCAGAGCAAUGCAUUGCAGCGGCCAAAAAAAAUUUCAGGUGAUUCAGAAAAUUUUUCUUUAACCAAGGACAUUCUAGAUGAAGAUGAUCAUCUUAUGCACUUCUUUAAACAGACUGAAAACUAUCGUUCUGGCCUACCAUCUUUUAGUCCAGAACUGUCUCCUCUGCCAUCAGAUCCUUUGCUCGGGAGCAGGUUUCUAGAUGUUAAUCCUUACAUCGCUGAAAAUGGGAUUGAAACUUCUGUUAAACAUGAAAUUGGUGUCACGUAUAAUUUUGAAAACAUGGAACGUAAUCUCUUGGUUCCGGCCAUAAAUAAUUUGGGAAAAGAGGACUGCUUGUUUCCAAAUCCUGCAAAGUUUGAUCUCGAUUUUUAUGCUUGUCCUAAAGAGGAUUUGGGCUGUAUAGGGGGACUUGAUCCGUGGGACAUUUAUAGUUCAGGUCCUUCUGAAUUCUAUUAUGACGGAGAUGAUUUGUCACAUAUACAUUCUCAUGGUGAAGAAGAUCUUAUUAAUUGUUUGACACCACGAGCUAUGAUCUCCUCUUGGGUGGAUGGGAACUCGCAUAAAUGGAAUGAUGCUGGGAAUCGAGGUAAAACAGAUGAGCUUAUAAGGAAGAAGAAGAGUAGAAGAAGCCAUUCAGCUCCUCCAUUUUACCAAGGCAAGAAGAAGUUCUUUGCCACGAGUGAAUCUUCAAGAACGGCAGCAGGAAAUAACAAUAUUAAGACUGUUCAUGAUGUGCCACUCAUGCCAGG